AUUCUGACGUGUUUUUGGUCUGUUCAACCCUUUCCUUUCGCUGUGUCUUCCUUAAAUUGACGAAUAGGGUUGUAAGAGUGAAGGGACAGAGUUGGCGUCACCGGGCUUUUUAGGAAGGAGCGGCCGGGGCUGCACGUGCCGGAAGUAACUUAGCGGAACUCAGCUCGCGAGUACGCUUACGUCCUUGGAAGAAGCGCGAUCUCAGGAGUCGCGAGGAUCCGGGCUCAGCGUUUAGCAGUGGCGUGUGCUAGCUGUGGGACCGAGGCAUUACGUAAUGUGCCUGACGUUGUUUCCUCAGCUCCGAAGGCUGCGGUGUUGAUGAGACGUGGAAAGCGUCUGGGGUAAGGCUCGGCACAAAGCAAACAGGAAAUGUGCUUAUCAGUAUAAUUCCCCAAACCUCUCUCCCCGGUGAAACAAAUGAACACAGAGCUGCUCAGCUUGGAGGUGCGCCCCACCAAGCUUCUUUAAUAGAAGCCUCAAGCUUCUUGAGUUACACGAAAAACAAUUGCUAUUGGAAAAAGGCCAAACUUGUUAGAAGACAACCUGUCUUCUCCUAUUUAACUUCUCUCCUGAGACGCAAGACAGCGUUCACUGCUGAACAAUGUAUUCCUCAGUGUUUUUUCCUAAAGUUAUUUCCUCUACUGGGAGUGUAUUCUUUCUCCCUUUCUUAUUGGUCACGUAAGAUCUGAUUCCAGUUACAACUCUUUUUUGGGUGACUGAAUAAGAAAUUAUUUUUUAAGUAACAGUUUCCUGCCUUCAGUGUGGUAUAGCUACUUCAGGAACAAUUGAAAGUUAACUUUCUUUCUUGUUUUAGGAGGAUACACGGUGUGUAUGUUUAGAUUAUAGAGCACAGGAAUUGCUUUGUUCUCAUGGGAAAAGCAGGUAGAUUCCCAAGGGCACUGGGAAUAGGGGGAAACGCCAGGGUUGGGAAGGAGGACGUUUGUGGGCAUCCAGUGCCCUGCGUGGCACUGCUCUUUGCUCCAGAUAACGAUGGACUCUGGGAAAGUUACAUACUUAAGGUCCAUCUAAACAGGAUGGAGGGAACAUUAACAAAUGAGUUUUGCAAUUCUCACGAGAUCAGAGGACAAAAGCUAGAUUUAAUUAGACUCAGUUAAAAACUGCUAUUUCUUUUAAAAUGGCACAACUUAAUUUUCAUCUGCUACAGAGAACUACAUAAAUAAGUUAUAUGGAAAUGCAAUGUUCUGGAACCAGUUUUGUGGCACAACAGCCUACAGCUGCUGCCUGUGAUGCUGGCAUCCUUGGCAUCCCGUAUGGGUGCCGUUUGAAACCUAGCUUCCAAUCCAGUUCCCUCCAAAUGGCCGGGGAAAAACGUCAGAGCAUGGUCCAAGUACUUGAGCUCCUGCUAUCUGUGUGGGAGACCAAGAUGAAGCUCCUGGUUCCUGACUCCGUUGUGGCUCAACCUUGACCAUUGCAACCAUCUGGGGAGCGAACCAGCAGAUGGACGAUCUCUCUCUGGCCCCUUCUCUCUCCCCAUUUAACAGAUGUAGAGGAGUAGAAGACAUGCCUGGUGUCAUCUUGUACCAUGAUAGAGUAUGGUUUCUGGAAUUAGAUCUGGAUUAAAUUAUACCGCUGCCAUGACCUAGCUGUAUGAUUUGGGGCUGAGAUACUGAUGCUUAGAGAUUCUGUUCAGCCUCUGCACAGCUGGAAUAAGUCAUCCUCAAUAGAAGGAAGAGAGAUGUGUCCAACUUCCACAUCACUUCCUUAAAGGAAUCUGGAAUUAAGAAUAAGACACAAAUAUGCAGUGAUACCUAUUGGAAGAUGAAAAAGUUUUAAAUGACAUUCCAUAUGGGCAUCGGUUCAAGUUCUGGCUGCUCCAAUGCCUACCUAGUUCCCUGCUAAUGUGCCUGGAAAAGCACAGAAGAUAGCCCAAGUGCUUGGGCUGCUGCACCCACAUCGGAGACACAGAUGGAGUUCCAAGUUCCUGGCCCAGCACUGGCUGUUGCAGCCAUUUGGGGAAUGAACCAAUAGAUGGAAGAUUCUCCCUCUUUCUCUCU